rnacentral:rRNA from 1 species
UCGACUACAUGAAGCUGGAAUCGCUAGUAAUCGCGAAUCAGCAUGUCGCGGUGAAUACGUUCCCGGGUCUUGUACACACCGCCCGUCACACCAUGGGAGACGGAAAUGCCCGAAGUCGGUGACCUAACCGAGAGGGAGGAACCGCCGAAGGCAGGUUCGGUAACUGGGGUGAAGUCGUAACAAGGUAAC